AGGACUGUAGCUCAGUGGAAGAAAAUCUGCUUUGCGUGCAGAAGCUCCCAGGUUCAAUCCCCAGCAUCUCUA